UAUAAAUUUUGACAGAUAAUAUUAUUUGCAAUUUUAAUCAUUUUAAAAUCAUUAAGAUUAAAAAUAAAAUAAAUAAUAGUAAUAAUAAUAACUUGUAUUCCAACGCAGAACUACGCGACAUACGUACAGAGAAGAAUUUCCGAAUAGAAGAAUACCACGAUCGCAAAUGUUUAGCAAUAUCCAUCAGAGACUAGGAGAAUUUAGAACAUUUAAAAUUAGUCAACAUGAUGUCCACGAAGAACUCGAACUCAAAGAACGGAAUUUCGUGUUUUAAAUGAGAGUAAGGAUAACUUUACUCUUGGCGUAAGAUCAAUUGCAACUCAGGAAAAUACUCCGAAAAGUACGGUUCAUGAAAUUUUACAAGAGCAACUCCUACAUCCCUUUUAUUAUCAAAAGGUUCAAGCUUUAAACCCUGAAGAUCCAGUGGCUCGACGCAAUUUUUGUAGGACCAUUGGAAACCUUCAUAAUCGCUAAAUGGUGAGGUCUACUUAAACUUUUUGAAAAUUAGUGGCCCAAUCUACUAGGUGAUGUUCCUGUUCAAAUAAGGCGUGAAAUGUAGCUGCUGCAAGACGGCGCUCCACCCCAUUUCAAUGGAGCAGUGAGAGAACAUUUAUAUCAAAAUUUUCCUGAAAAAUGGAUUGGACGCGGUGGGUAAUGGAUUAUUGACAAUUGUGAAACAAUUAAACAGAAGGAAGGCAUAUUUUCUAGAAUUCGUUGGAGUUUCCAAAGAAGAAUGAAUUUAUGUAUUGAAAUGAAAGGGCAACAUUAAAUACAAAUUUUUUAUGAAAGUAUUACUUUAAAAUUAAAUUUGUUGUGUUAUCGUAAA